ensembl:lncRNA
UGAUAGUUUGCAGCCACUGCUACAGGGACAGAAAGGGAGUGGAAUUUUAUUUGUCUUUCUUUCUUCUUGCUCCGUCAGGAAAUAAUUCUAAUGAGCUCUUGGAGUCAGUGGCUGAUUGCAUCGUCACACACCAGGUCUGACUGUGAAGCUGAAGGAGAGGUCAUGGCAUCCAUUUUGCUCCUAAGCAUCUCCUCAUCUCACUGAGACUGGUUGAGGGCACUCUGAGGCCGAUCUCACAGCAGCACCGAACAACAAGGUGAGCCAAACAGAGGGCUGCUCUCCAAAGAUAGCUCAGCUUCAGCCUGGGUUCUCCAUUAUGCCUCUGAACAGGACACAGGAAACAAAAC